rnacentral:misc_RNA from 1 species
UCGAGACCCAUAAAGGAUUGGAUGACUUUUGAUAACCCGUGAACGUGUGGCAGCGUCAGCUGUCUAUAAACGCCAUCUGCCUGGUGCUCCCUUCUCGAUCGGAGCAUCAAAAAAGGUGGAUGAAAAAAACAAUUGGGCGCGGUGUUGCGCCAAGGAAGCGUUGUCACUAGCAUCGACGGCUAUCCGCAGGAGCUCAACGGGCUUAGCGGUGUGUUGUUGCUGCUUCUGAAUUAUUGUAUGACUCUCGGCAAUGGAUAUCUUGGCUCUUGCAUCGAUGAAGAGCGCAGCGAAAUGCGAUACGUGGUGUGAAUUGCAGAAUCCCGUGAACCAUCGAGUUUUUGAACGCAAGUUGCGCCCGAGGCCAAUUGGCUGAGGGCACGUCCGCCUGGGCGUCAAGCAUUACGUCGCUUCAUUCGGCACCACCUCGAAGAAGGGGUGGUUGUGCCGGGUAGAAUGUGGAGAUUGGCCCUUCGUGCAGACACUUGCGCGGCGGGUUGAAGCCUGGAUGGCCUUCCUCUUGGCAGAUGAUUGAUAAAGGGGUGGUUGGAUGCUGCCAGUUGGCCCGCGUUGUCAUAUCAUUGGCCUUGAGGAGGGCAUGCACACACAUCGAUGAUAUGUCACCCGACGAAUCUGUCUUAGGUGGCACAUUGAAAUG